GACGAACGCUGGCGGCGUGCUUAACACAUGCAAGUCGAACGGAAAGGCCCUGCUUGCAGGGUACUCGAGUGGCGAACGGGUGAGUAACACGUGGGUGAUCUGCCCUGCACUUCGGGAUAAGCCUGGGAAACUGGGUCUAAUACCGGAUAGGAGCCAUUUUUAGUGUGAUGGUUGGAAAGUUUUUUCGGUGUAGGAUGAGCUCGCGGCCUAUCAGCUUGUUGGUGGGGUAAUGGCCUACCAAGGCGGCGACGGGUAGCCGGCCUGGGAGGGUGGACGGCCACAUUGGGACUGAGAUACGGCCCAGACUCCUACGGGAGGCAGCAGUGGGGAAUAUUGCGCAAUGGGCGCAAGCCUGAUGCAAAGACGCCGCGUGGGGGAUGACGGCCUUCGGGUUGUAAACUCCUUUCGCUAGGGACGAAGCUUUUUGUGACGGUACCUAGAUAAGAAGCACCGGCUAACUACGUG
rnacentral:rRNA from 1 species